rnacentral:rRNA from 1 species
AGUGAACGCUGGCGGUAGGCCUAACACAUGCAAGUCGAACGGCAGCACAGUAAGAGCUUGCUCUUACGGGUGGCGAGUGGCGGACGGGUGCGGAAUACAUCGGAAUCUACUUUUUCGUGGGGGAUAACGUAGGGAAACUUACGCUAAUACCGCAUACGACCUACGGGUGAAAGCAGGGGAUCUUCGGACCUUGCGCGAUUGAAUGAGCCGAUGUCGGAUUAGCUAGUUGGCGGGGUAAAGGCCCACCAAGGCGACGAUCCGUAGCUGGUCUGAGAGGAUGAUAAGCAACACUGGAACUGAGGCACGGUCCAGACUCCUACGGGAGGCAGCAGUGGGGAAUAUUGGACAAUGGGCGCAAGCCUGAUCCAGCCAUACCGCGUGGGUGAAGAAGGCCUUCGGGUUGUAAAGCCCUUUUGUUGGGAAAGAAAAGCAGCAGGUUAAUACCCCGCUGUUCUGACGGUACCCAAAGAAUAAGCACCGGCUAACUUCGUG